rnacentral:lncRNA from 1 species
ACGAUCUCUGGAUUCAGCCUCCUCCGUGUCCUCUGUUCAAAAAACCCCUCUGUCCAGAAUACCUGCCUGUCCACAAAAAAAAGUGUCCCGUUCCCUCCACAGAUAGAACCUAACUGUCCCGUUGAAAUUAAGACCUCAGAGGGAGGCGUCUUGUUGACUGCAGGGUUUCCAAUCACCAUGGCAACGCGUGUCCGGGCGGCUGGUCAGUUAUCGGUCUUGUCACACGGGAGUAACGCGCAUGAUCGCAGAGUUGAGAGAAAAUCUGCAAUCGAUUAUUGGGGUUUAAAGACAUUACCGGCGAUUAUUGUAUAACCACAUGACUUGAUAUAAAAGACGCGAUACGGACAUUUGAUCAUUUAAAACAACUUUAAGUUGUGUUCGAUCCAGUGAGAAUUUUCUUGAAUCACAUAACUCAUUAACACAAAACCUAAAAAUUCACAAAGAAAGCUAAUUAGAGUUGUACUGACCACGAAAUUAAAUAUUCGCGAUUCUGUUACUAUCAUGGCUAAUUUACACAGUGUUCCUGAAACUUUUAAACUCGUCGGUGUGUCUAUAUGUGUGUGUGGAGAUAAUACACUUACAAAUGUUGGUAACAAGAAUUGUCCACAAACUGUUCGUUUUCACUUCAAGGUGUGAACAGUGUGAAUCAAAGUAAAACAAUGUGACCUGUAACACAGCCUCUCGUUUUCGUACGGGUGCUUAUCACAGUGUGUAUUAUAGUAGUAGUUAUUACGGUGACACUAUGACAGACGCCAUAACAAAAACCCGAGUGUCCUAAAAAACCCUCUGUCUAUAAUACCUGGCUGUCUACAAAAACACAGUGUCCCGUUUCCUCCACUGAUGGCACCUAAUGGGUCCUGUAGGAAAUAAGCCUUCAGGGGAGGCGUCCUGCUGACCACAGGUGAGGUUUUCCAAUCACCAUGGCAACGUGUCUCCAGGCGGCCGGUCGAUGUCGGUUCUUGUCAAAUGGGGGUUACGCGCAUGAUCGCAAGUUGAGAGAAAGUCUGCACUCAAUUACACUGGUCGAAAGCGAAAGUGUUUCCGAAAUAAAUACGUAGUUGCACUUUACUAUAUCUGAGUG